rnacentral:rRNA from 1 species
UACGAAGGUGCCCAGCGUUGUUCGGAAUCACUGGGCGUAAAGCGCACGCAGGCGGGUCGAUAAGUCGGCGGUGAAAGCCCGGGGCUCAACCUCGGAAUUGCCUUCGAUACUGUCGGUCUCGAGUCCGGGAGAGGUGAGUGGAAUUCCUAGUGUAGAGGUGAAAUUCGUAGAUAUUAGGAAGAACACCAGUGGCGAAGGCGGCUCACUGGCCCGGUACUGACGCUCAGGUGCGAAAGCGUGGGGAGCAAACAGG